rnacentral:rRNA from 1 species
UGUUGCAUGGCUGUCGUCAGCUCGUGUCGUGAGAUGUUUGGUCAAGUCCUAUAACGAGCGAAGCCCUCGUUUUGUGUUGCUGAGACAUGCGCCUAAGGAGAAAGUCUUUGCAACCGAAGUGACCCGAGGAGCUGAGUGACGUGCCAUCGCUACUAAUUGAGUGCCAGCACCUAGCUGUGCUGUCAGUAAGAAGGUAGCCAGCGCCUUUUGAAGCAUUUUCUAUUUCUAGAUAGAAAGGGCCUUUCUCGCUUGUUUAGUAAAGUCAAGUUUUUGGCCUUAUCCUGCAGGUGACGAC